UAAUUAAAUAAAUAAGUUUUAUAAAAAUAGUUCAUGAUUUAAAAGUGCCAUUAAUAGAGUAGUUGUUUCCUUGUUCCCACUUGGUGUAAUGAUACAAGAUAGAGAUUUCAACGAAGAGGGAAAAUGACUCAUCUUAAUGGAAAGUGCCUUUAUCUAAUAUUGAACAUUAAAAUCUUUCACAUGAUUGCGCUGGACAAUUCAAAAUGAGAAGACCCAUUAUCAAAGUCAUCGUCAUUACCAAUAUUCAACCAAAGAUCAAACAAGAUAAUGAAAUGUUAACAUAAUAGCAAUUUAAAUCGCAAUAGUUGCCCAUUAUUUAUGUUGAGAAGAGGGCAAUUUAGUCAGUGAAAGGAAAAGUUGAUUCAUGAAUGUUAAAAGGAAAGCUGAAAGUUACCCUGUUGUUUGUGCACAAACAAAUGUAAUAAAUUGCUGCCAUAAUUCAGUUGAUGUUGUUCAAUCAAAAUUGGUACAAUUUUAUAAAUCAUGAUGGUUUAAAAAUAGUUUUGGUCACAAGAAAGUGCAGGCAAUGAAAAAUUUAUCAAAUUUAAUGAAAAAACAUCAGUGAAAAAAAGGUAAAAGCAAAAUUAUGGCUGCAAUUGGUGAUGGCAAAAAAGAAGGAAAAUAAGCAAUAAAACUACAAGAAAAAGAGUUAACUUUUUUAGUUUAGUUUUCAUUUUGUUUGGUCUUCACUUUGGUCUUUCAAAAUAACAAUGUUUGGUUUAAAGAUGAUGACGAUAAGGUUGGGAAAGACAAUGAAUAAAGAGAUAUAUACAUUUGGAUGAGGAUCAAGACAAAAAGGACGAUAAAAGAUAUAAAAAUGUUGUAAAAAUUGGCAAGGACAAAGGCGAUCUUAAAGGUUCAACUCCCUGGUAGCAACUUUAACUGGAUAAAAUAGCUUUUCCAAUAAUAUUCUCAAUAUCACCUACAUCAUCUUCUUAUCAUCAUAAUCAGUUCUCUUUUGAACAUACUUGAACAUUUCAUCAUUUUGUUCAUCUUUUCAUCUUCUCCUUUAUCGUCUUCUCUUUUAGUGUUUUGUGAUGGAAAAUCUUUCAACUCUUUUGUGUAAACUUGAAACAUUUUUUUUUCUCGCCAUUUUUUCCCUUUUCUAGUCUUCUCUUUUUUUUCAUCUACUUCAUUCUCUCUUUUGAGAAACUGAAUUUCCGUUGAAAUUGAUGAGAGAAACAUAAUCAUUAUCAAAGUUACAAUGGAAAAAAAUGAUGAUAACGAAGAGAUUAAGAGUAGAAAAGGAAUCAUUUUUGAGCAAGAUGAAGAUGAUGGCGAAGAAAAGGUCAGCGUAAAUAUUGUUUUCUUCCUUCUCUUCAUUUCGCUGUUUGUUAAUUCUCAUUUUUUCUUGUUUCGUUUUCCUUCUUUCUUUUCACUAUUCCAGGACAAAGGAUUUGUUCUGUGACAUGACAAAUUCAUACCAAUUUAAAGGAUAUUUAACUUGAGAAUAAGAGUUUCCCAGGAAAAAAGCAAAUCCCAACCAACUUGGUCGCCAAGCAAGUCAAUGAUAUAUUAUUAUAUACAUUACAUGAUUGUUUAUCAUCAUCAACAUUGUCCUACUCUUCAUCAUCAUUAUUAUAAUUUGGAAAUAUUAACUCAUCACAUCAAAGGACAAAUGGACAAGAUAGAAAUCACAAGAGAUGACAAAAAAUCGUUGAAAGGAAACACUGGCAACCAUGAGAUUUCCAUCGACAAUGAACUAAAUUUGGAUGUUAAUUUAGCACCAGUCAACCCAAACUUAUGGACAUCUCAAUACAAAAUCGCCAACCAAAUCUUCAGCUACAAAUGCUUGUUGGAAGCUGUGUGUGCAAAACGUUAAUCUAGGCAAUUCUUGUGAGUUAAUUAGAAUCAAAUUUUUCUUCCCUUGAGUUGAAUUAUUUGUAAUAAUUAAUUUUAAUGGUAACACAAGCAGUUAUAACUAGACUUUCUAGGAUGAUGUUGACAUUUUUUCGUUAAUUUAAUGCAAAACAAAACGUAA